rnacentral:lncRNA from 1 species
CGUUCGGGAACCGGUCCCUGCUCGGGGAGACCGGUCUCUGCCUGCGCGGAAUGCCCAGUUCGGGCAGUGUAAUAAAGUGAAAGUUGAGGGGUUUAUUAGCAUUUUGGCAACCCAUUGAGUAUAGUAUUGGGGUAAAUGAGAUUUUCUCUCAUUUUCACCCCUCUCACACUCUCUUCUCUCUCUCUCUCUCUCUAGAAGGCAAAAGAGAAGAAGAAGAAGGAAGGGAAAGAAGGAAAAGAAGGAGAAGAAGGUGAAGGAGAAGCUUUUGGAGCAAAGAGGCUCCAUCUCCUUCCUCUCUAGUGCAAGAAAAGAGAGCUUACAAGGUAGGCUCUUAACCCUAAUGUAGUAAAACCCUAGAAAUGGGUUUGAAUAAACCUAGAAAUGGUUUUUAUGGAGCUUUUAGAGUCUUUUGAAGCUUUCUUUUGCUUCUAAAGAGAUCAAAACCUAGAUUUGCUAUAGAGGUGAGCUUGGACCACCUCUAAUGGUGAAAUCCAAACUAGGGUUUUGGAAGGCCUAAGAAUGGUUCUAAUGGACUAUUUAGAGUAUAAUGAAGCUACUUUUGCUUCCCAAUGAGAUCAAACCCUAGGUUUUGUAUAUGCAUUGGAGCUAGGGCACCAAAUUGGGGCUUUUGCUCAUGAGGGUUUCUAAGUGCAAUUGACCCUCUAAAAACCUAAUUGGGGGUAUUUCCGACGCGUUGGUGCGCUCGGAUUAACGUUACGAAAAGUCAAAGUAAAGUUAUGAGCAAAAUGGCCUAAUAAGGGUUCGUUUUGCCGCAGGUAAAGAACGAAGCAUCUAAAAAUCCCAAGAAAAUCAUCGGAGCACCUUUGAAAGCCUACGAGGUGGGUGGUGCUUCUCAAACUCAUUGAACUUCUCUCUAUGCCUAAUGUGUCAUUCAUUUGAGCAUGUGUAAUAUAUAUUGUUGCAUGCAUAUUAGGGUAAAGUAAUGAUAAGAAUGUGAUGAUAGCAUGAUUGUGAGUACAACUUGCUUAUAAUGAUGGUAGAGAACCAAAUAAAUGUCAAAACCCUAAGUGUAUGCAUUAGAGAAAAGUGAGCACCCAAAGUGAGCAAAAGAACAGAGUGACACUAUGACAUAGAUCGAGUGGCAUUUGAAAAUGUAAAGUAAAGAGACACUAGAGUUAGUGUGAUGCAAAGAACCAAAGUGAUGUAAAGAAUGAUGAAAAUGACAAUGUGUAAAGUAAAGUAAAGUGGGGCAAUAAGAACAAGUAUUGUAACGAACAAGAAUGCUAGAGUUAGCAAGAGUAAAGAAAUGUAAAGAAUGUAAUUGCAUGAGUUUGCAACAUAAAGUGAUGUAAAGAACACUAGAGCUAGUGUAAAGUCAAGAUUGAACUUAUAAAUCCUUUGAGUUAAGGAUAUGAUCAUACUUGCUAUGAGUUCCGUGCUCGAGGGCGGUCGCUCCCCCUCGGGCGAUGCGCUCCGGAGUUAUGCAUCACGGGUUGGAGUAAACCCGAAGGACGGUCCUAGCGGGUGAGUUCCUGCGAUGAUGGACUUAAUGUGAAGCAAGUUAAUGUGGCGAAACCCCCGGGUUAGCCUUGAGAUUAAAGAACAAAGAACAAAGAGCAAAGAAUAAAGAACAAAGUACAAAGUAAAGUCAAAGAACGAAUGAGUUUGCAUAAUCUGCAUUUAUUUAAUGUUGAGCAUACUUCUUGCUUAUUGUUCAGGCAUAUUAGCAUCAUGUUAUAGAUUGGUUACUAUACAGCUUAUUCUUUCUAUUAUGCCUGAGUUAGUCCUAGUGGGAAAGUCGGUGAUGUUGAGGCCGAACCCACUGGGAACUUUGUUGUAGUUCUCACCCCACUAUUUCCACAGAGCCGGGACCGAGCGAGCCGGCGAGCGACCGAGGUAAAGGACUCGCGCCUUAGACAGAGGCCACCGAUGUUGGGUUACAUUUUGUUCGUAAAGUACCCUAUGAUCAUCUUUUGUAUUUGAUGAUUUAGAAUGUUAAUGUACAAAGCAAAGAAAAAAAUGUAAAGUUUCAUUUUGAGGUAAAUGUAAUGUAAGAAGGAAAUGAUGAAACGAUGUAAUGAAUGUAAGAAUUCGAUAAAUUACUAAAUGAAUGCAAUGUGUAUGAUCUAAAAUGAAUCAUAUUACUUGUGAACAUUUAGUUUCCUUUUUCUUUCACUAAUGGCUAUUGCUUACCCUCGUGUAAGCCGUUUGUGUAUGUUUCCGCUAGUGCUUUUCUCUACUGAAGAAAAUGUGCAUGUGAUGAGCCUUGGGCGGAUAGGGGGGACUCUAUCCGUUCGGCGUCUGUUUGACGUGCUCGGGUCGGGCCAAAUUGGCGUCGGUUCCGGGGCGUGACAGCUUACCCUCGUGUAAGCCGUUUGUGUAUGUUUCCGCUAGUGCUUUUCUCUACUUGAAAAUAUACAGGUGAUGAGCCUUGGGCGGACAGGGAAAACUCUGUCCGUUCGGCGUCUGUUUGACGUGCCCGGGCCGGCCCAAAUUGGUAUCGGUCCCGGGGCGUGACAGGUCGAACACGAGUGGCAUCUAACCUAGUAUUAUUAAACAUAGGUUGAACAUGAAUGACAUUGAACCUAGUGUUAGCAAACAUAGGUUGAACAAGCGAACCUAGAGUCAAGAUCUAGGUGAUCGAGUGGCAUCGAACCUAGUGUUAAAGAACAUAGGUUAUGGAUUAAACCUACAGUUAAAGUAAACCUAUGUUAUGUGAUAGAGGCCUAGAACCUAGAGUCAGUUGGACCUAGGGUGUAAAGGACAUCGGACCUAGAUAGGUCGAUACUAUAGGGUUUGAGACCGACCCUUGAGUUGUGAAGUGGAUUCCAAAAUCCCUAGUGUUGUGACAGCAAAAAAAGCAGUGGAACUUGUGAUAGGAUACAAGAGAUGGCAAUUAGAAUCAUAACUGCGGGUAUGUGUGGUUCUCCUCGCUCGGCAGUGAUUCAACAGGUAUGUGUGGUUUUCCUCACCCGGUAUGCCAUGAGAAUAAUGAUCCAACGGGUAUGUGUGGUUCUCCUCGCCCGGUAUAAGCUUGAAUGAGUAUGUGUGGUUCUCCUCGCUCAUUUAGCUUAUUGGAUGACGCCACCUAGACUGACUUGAACCAUGAUGGGUAAGGGCGAUGCGUGCGCCGCCAAAAGUCUGAGCCGUGAUCUGAACCAUUGUUGGGUGUGUUCCGACGAGUUCGCCGCCAGAUGGCUAAGUCAUGACUCGAGUCCUUGCUCGGUAAGGACGACGUGUUCGCGGCCAGAUGGCUAAGUCAAGAGGUGCGGUAGGCUGUGACGAUAGCCAGGCUGAGGUGUAGCCUUUGCACGGAUUAUCCGUGGGUGAUUGACUCGUGGCCGAGUCGGGUGGAUAGCAUAGUAGAGGUAAUAGAAACCUUGAAAGCUAGUGAUAGAGGCAGGAGCUAAGGUAAUAGAGACCUUAGAAGCCAGUUGAACCCGAAUUGUAAACCUAAGGUAGUAGACACCUUAGAAAUGAACGGCAUGAGCUAAGACUAGCCAAGUGAAUGUAGAAUCAAUAGAUUUACAAUUGUUGCAUAAAUUGCAUAUGGAAUAGCAUUAUUGCAUUUGUAAGGCAAAGCAUGAUUUAUGUUAGUUGCAUUAAAAUUAUGAUUUCAUAUCUAUCUAUUGAACUAACAUGUUGUUGCCUCCCUUGGAUCUACUAGUCGAGCUUUUUUCUUGGGUGGCCGUACCCACUCGGAACCAUGGAGUUGGUUCUCACCUCACGUUAUUUUGGGGUGUUACAGGUUCGCACGUGAGCGGCGCGGCGGCGCGAGGCAAGGGCGUAGCUUCAUAGAUAGCACCCUAUCCCAGAGACCAGAGAUAGCGGUACCCCGAGUCGGCAUAGCCUAGGGGUAUAGGGGGGAAAAGAACACAAUGUAUCAAACUUGUAAAUAAGAAAAUGAUGUAAUAACUUUGAUUGUAUUUGGAAGCCAAAUGUAAAAGAAAUCGUGAUGUAAAAUGCAUCUGAUGUGAAUGCUUGUAAUAGCUAGUUAUUUAUGUUGUUUGAUACUUCCUUAUACAAUCUGUAUGUUGAAUACUGUUCCUAGUUGGAACCUCUUGUAUUGUAUUGUAUUGAUUGCGACGCCUAGGACGUACAGGAAAAACUCUGUCCGUUCGGCGGUAUGUCGGCAUACCCAUCACCCAUUCAGCCGCUCCAGCCUACGGCUCAGGUGACCCUUGAAACAAAUCAAGAGUGUGGUGAUUGGGAUGUCCAGGAUCGUGCUCGCCCCGUCGCCUCCUGGCUCCGUUCCCAUAUCGCGGCAUCUAUCGCUGGUGGCCCUAUAAUUCGUAAAACAUCAGUAAGGGGAAAACCACGUAUGCAUAGUUGAAAUAAAACAACUUAAUCAGUCUACAUUUCAACAUUUGUUCGUACACAAACCACCUACUGAUUUACAUUUUCUAAACUACCAACUUACCUUAACAUUAUCAAAAUGAACAUAAACCAAAUUUAAAUUAGUUUAUAGUACACACAACAUAUAAAUCGAAUCUCGAAAGUGAAGGCAACAACAAACGGGAGCACGUUCGGAACAUAAUGUAUACGUUAAGCGAACAACUAACGGAUAGAUAUGAACAACAAUCUCGGAACCCGCCUGCCCCCUCCGAGACAGGCAAGCCGUAGACAACUGCGCUGGGCUUGGGCUGUUUUAACCGCCCCUAACCCCGCACUGUGGGCGGAUAAACCAGCCCAAANCAUGUGCAUAUUAUAGAAAUGCUAAACAGAUGUCAAAUGAAAGUAUGAGAUUUAUACUAACCGAGAAUGCAUGUAGUAAAUGUUAACGAAUGCAUAAAAUGCUAAGUAAUGACUACCAAUGGACACUACAAGAAAUUUAUGUUUUGGUGGCAUCUAUUAUUGUUGCUAAAAGACAUAAAAUUGAUGCUAAAAUUAUUAGCAACAUUUAGUAUUUAAUGUUGCCUAUGCCCUAGUUGGUGAAUCCUUUACCAACAUUUGAGUAAAAUGUUGCUAAUAUUAAGCAUAAAGAGGCACAUAACAAGUGUUGCUAUAUAAGUAGAUUUUGCAACUUUUAUUGUAUGUUGGUAUAACUAAUUAUUCCCAACAUUACUAAAUGUUGCUAAUCCUAUUAUAAUAUAACCAUUCCCAACAAUUAUAAAUGUUGCUAAUGUUGGUAUAAUUUAACCAUUCCCAACAUUACUAAAUGUUGCUAAUGUUAGUAUAAAGCAACUAUUCCCAACAUUACUAAAUAUUGCUAUUUAUAAUUUAAUAUCCAACAUCUAAAUUCAAAUAUCACUAAAUAUUAUACUAAUUUUUAAAUAUUGAAUAAUAGAUAAUGCAUUAAAAAAUUAGAAAUAAUAUUUUAGCUAAUUGUCAUUCAAUAAUAAACUAUUUAUGCAUAUAAAAUUACAAGAUCAAUAAAAGUUACAAUAUAUAAAAGUGCAAUUCAACCAAAAAUAUCAUAAAUUGCAUAUUUAACCUACAUAUUCUUCAAUAUAUAAGUAGUAACAUAUAAACUGAUCAUGACAAAAUUAUAAGAAAUAUGCUCCACAGCUUUUCGAUUCCAACAGAUACAAAAUGUAUAGUGCGGAGAUGAACACAACAUCAUGCCAAAAUAUCUCAAGAUUAUACAUCUAAUAUGCCAAAAUAUUCCAAGAUUAUAUUUGUUAAAUACAUGUUCUGCACUAUAAGUAGUAACAUAUAAAAGUGAUCAUCACAAAAUUAUAAGAAAUGUGCUCCAUGUCUUUUUGUUUCUAACAGGUUCAAAAUAUAUUGCGCGGAGAUGAACACGAUAUCAUGCACUACUUGCACUUAACCUGUGAAAAGAACAAAAAGCAAAUUAAACAUAUAUAUAUAUAUAUAUAUAUAUAUAUAAAAUAAGCUAUAGAUGAUGAAAGAUAAUUGAAGAAAUAAAAUAUGGUUGAGAUAACUCAUCCUUACAAAAGUAUAUGGCCAAGCAACAGUUGCUCCAACAGCAUCUCCAAUUGUUUGAUAGCUACUAUAUGGUCUAAGUAGUGGUUCAUUGCGUACUAUUGGCACAUCAAUUUGAAUCUCCCAACACUGUGGUCCUAAUUCGAACCCACCCACUCUUGUAGUUGGAUCUUUACUCAAAAGAUAACCUUGUGCUACAUGAUUGUGAGGUUUUUGUAAACUCCUCAAGUAAACUUCAGUUCCAAUCUAACAAUAAGUGAAUAAACAAAUAUAGUAAUUUAAACUUAUAUAUGUUGUAGAGAAAAAAAUCAUCAUGAUAACAUAAAAAGAAUAAGAGAUAGAAGAUAACCAUAAUAUUUGAUACAGCGUGGACUCUCUUUGAGAUAUUCUUAGCUCGAUACACCUACGAUAUAAUUAGAAUUAACAAUUUUCAGAUUCUAAGAUUAGUUUAUGCCUUUAAAAAGAGAGAAACAAAAUAACUAGCGAUGUCACUUUGUUAAAAAUAGAAAUUAAAUUAACUAACAAAAUAGGCAAUAGCAAUUAAUAAUCUUCUUGUCAUCUAAAAUUGGUUAGCAAAAUAUUAAAACUAACUAAUUAAUUUUGGUUGAAAAUUUUGAGUUUUAGCAAGAUUACUCAAGAAAAGCCAUUUGAGAUGAUAAAAUACCUGAGUUGGUGGUGCUUCAUAACUAGAAUGAGAAGAGGUUGCCUGAUUAUUAGGUGAUCCAUUAUAAGGAAGAUCAGUGCAUUUCUAAAUUGGAGAAAAAAAAGUUAGAUGAUAUAUUAGUUUUUCAUAUACAUCAAAAAAGAUAAAAUUAUUUAUAAAUUAUGCUUACUAGUUUGAGGCCUUGUGGAACGCAUGAUAUUCCUUAUCCUAGUAUGAAAUGGUCUUGAGGCCUUUUACCUAUUGAUUCUACCCAUGCCUUCAUUGUCAUCAUUUCCUUGUGUAUAUCUUCAUAUUUUUGUCUCAUAUCUACUAAUUCUAAUUGCAUUACACGUUUCUCCUCCUCGGCUUCUUUUUUGGUCUCAGAAAGCAUUCGAAUAUUAUCAGCACGAGUUGUCUUUGAUUUUCGAAGUUCAUCUGGAAUAGGACCCAAUCCAUGACAAUGAAGUUGAGUACUUUUCUCUUUAAGUAGCAGCGAUAAAAGGUCAUUUCGAGAUGGAUCUCUUUGUGCAACUUCAGGAUAUAAUGGAACUAAAUCUCCAAUAUUUUACUAUAAAAAGUAAGAAAUUAUACUUGACUAAUUCAAACAACUUUUAUAACUAAAAUUUGUCCAAAUCUAAAGACAUACCAUGAUUUUCGAGCAAUACGCAUUUAAAGGCUUGCCAUUCUUCUUGGUGUGCGUUCUUAUGUAGAGCUCAUGUCUUCUCGGUUGAAUAUGAUUAUUUUUCUUGUCCAUCUAACAAUAUUUAGAGAUUAAACUUUCAUUAACAAUCUAUUAAUCUAUGCACUAUUAGUAAAGAAAAUAUUAUAAUAUAGAGGAUUAAGUUUACCUCAGCACGAACUCUUGCGAAGCUUUUUGUGCCUGCUGUAUGUGUGGUUUUUAGCAUUGCACGGCUAGCUUUAUUUUUGGCACUACGUUCCUAUUAGAAUAAAUGUACAUGUGCUCAAAGAAGUAAUUAGAAUAAUAUUUCAUUGAAUACUAUCUAAAAUUUAAUGCAAAGCUUGUGUAGAGCUAUUUAUAGCAACACGAAAAAUCAAUUAUAUGCAAAAUAAUGAAGAUCAAUUUUUGAUGUCUAAUAAAUAAAGUUAUUCGCUGACCCCAAACUAUCAAAAUCAAGUUAAAAAGUAACAUUCAUACCUGUCCUACUUGAGAGUCCCAGUGCUUAACAAGAAAUUCCCAUUCUUUCGCGUGUACUCGAGAAUCACAAGCUGCUAUCUUUUCCUCGUAAGUUUUAUGAGUAUCAUAGUGAAGUUUUUUUAGUUUGCUUUUGAACUCCCUCCAUUUUUUUCCUAUAGACAUAAUAACCCAAUCUCUUCCUUCUUCUGAAAUUUGAAAUUUUUUCUAGACAAAGAGAAAAGAAAUAUCAAUAAAACAUCAUAUGAAAAAUAUGGCCUGCAAAGAAAAAAAAAAGCAAAUUUCCUACACCUGUACAAUCAUCCACAUAAUAUCCUUAGUUGAAUUUGGAACAACUCUCCAAUCUUUAUAACUUAGAGGAAUUAUUUGUCCAUUUCUUGCCAUUAGCCCCAAAAAGUUACUUAAUGUGGCUGCUACUUUUCCAAUAGGUUGCCCAAACUCAUUAAGUUUUAUAGGUUUCGGAGAAGUCCUUUUAAAUAAUUUGAGCAACUUUGUACGGCCUGGAGUCUUUUGUGAUGCAUGAGAAGACUCUGUCCAACAAAUCAAAAUAGUUAUUCACUUUCUAUCAAUAACAAAAUGUAAAUUUUUAUUGCUAUAUACAAGUAAAAAAAUAACAUUCUAAUCUAUCCAAAUAUAUCUUAUUUCAAAAUUCUACUUCGAAAUCCUAUCACAUGCUUCUAUUAAUAUAAAAAAGAAAAUUUUGUUUGUUGCUACCUAUACAUAAGUUUAGAUGUGUAAUAUACCGAAAAUUCGGGAAAUAAAUAUCGAACUUUAGUCAAAUUGACCAAAGUGCGAGGAUGGUACACUUCGGAAAGUCCGAAGGUGUUAAAAUGAGUAAAAGUGAGUUACGGGAGGUUUUCGAGAGCUAUAGAAUAAAAUCUGCAAAACUGCAGAUUUUGAGCUCUCGGGGAUCGGUCCCUGGUGGGAGAGACCGGUCCCCGAACGCGUAUGAAAUGAGACAGCUGAAAAAUCGGCUAAGUCCUGAGAAAUUAGCUCUCGGGAACCGGUCCCUGCCUGAGAGACCGGUCCCCGAGAGACCGGUCCCAUAAGGAGAGACCGGUUGCACUGCGCGCAGCAGCUCUGGCUGCGCUGGGACGACGUUCGGGAACCGGUCCCUAAAGGAGAGACUGGUCCCUGCCUGCGCGAUCAGCCCAGUUCGGGCAGUGCAUUAAAGUGAAAGUUGAGGGGUUUUAUUGCAUUUUUGCAACCCAUUGAGCUAUGUUAAUGGGUUGAGGGGCUUUUCCUCUCAUUCUUACCCUCUCACACUCUCUCCUCUCUUUCUCUCUAUAGAAGACAAAGAAGGAGAAGAAGAAGAAAGGAAGAAAAGAAGGAAAAGAAGAGGAAGAAAGUGAAGAAGAAGACAAGGAGAAGAAGAAAACCUCUCCUCUCCUUCUCUAGUGCAAGAAAGGAGCAAGCUUUGAGGUAAGCUAUGCCCUUUUUCAUGUUAGCUCCUAAACUAGGGUUUGGGAAAACCUAGAAAUGGUUUUUAUGGAGCUUUUGGAGUCUUUGAAGCUUUCUUUUUGCUUCUUUUGAGAUCAAGACCAUGGAUUGGUUGUUGGAGGUAAAGCUUGAAGAAGAGCUUGACCCCUCUCAUGGUGAAAUCCAAACUAGGGUUUGGAAUGAGCUAGGAAUGGUUCUAAUGGGCUAUUUAGAGUAUAGUGAAGCUACUUUUGCUUCCCAAAGAGAUCAAACCCUAGGUUUUGAUAUACAUUGGAGCUAGGGCACCCAAAUUGGGGCUUUUGCUCAUAGGGGUUUCUAUGUGCAAUUGACCCUCUAGAAACCUAAUUGGGGGUAUUUCCGACGCGUUGGUGCGCUCGGAAUAGCAUUACGAAAAGUCUAUAGAAAGAUAUGGCCAAAUAAGCCUAACUUGGCUUCGUUAUGCCGCAGGUAAACAACAAAGGGUCUAGAAAUCCCAAGAAAAUCAUCGGAGCACCUUUGAAAGCCUACGAGGUGGGUGGUGCUUUUCAAACUCAUUGAAAUUCUCUCUAUGCCUAAUGUGUCAUUCUUUGAGCAUAUGUCAUAUAUAUUGUUGCAUGUAUUUUAGGGUAAGGUAAUGAUGAAAUGUGAUGAUUGCAUGAUUGUGAGCACAACUUGCAUAAUGAGAUGGUUGAGAACCUAAUAAUGUCAAAACCCUAGAUGUAUGCAUGAGAGAAAAUGUGAGCACCCAAAGUGAACAAAAGAACAGAGUGACACUGUGACAUAGAUCGAGUGGCAUUUGAAAACGUAAAGUAGAGUGACACUAGAGUUAGUGUGAGCCAAAGAACCAAAGUGAUGUAAAGAAUGAUGAAAAUGACAAUGUGUAAAGUUAAAGUAAAGUGGGGCAAUAAGAACGAGAAAUGUAAAGAACAAGAAUGCUAGAGCUAGCAGAAGUAAAGAAAUGUAAAGAAUGUGAUUGCAUGAGUUUGCAACAUAAAGUGAUGUAAAGAACACUAGAGCUAGUGUAAAGUCAAGAUUGAACUUAUAAAAUCCUUUGAGUUAAGGAUAUGAUCAUACUUGCUAUGAGUUCCGUGCUCGAGGGCGGUCGCUCCCCCUCGGGCGAUGCGCUCCGGAGUUAUGCAUCCGGGUUGGAGUAGACCCGUAAGGACGGUCCUAGCUGGUGAGUUCCUGCGAUGAUGGACUUAAUGUGAAGCAAGUUAAUGUGGCGAAACCCCCGGGUUAGCCUUGAGAUUAAAGAACAAAGAACAAAGAACAAAGUGCAAAGAAUAAAGAACAAAGAACAAAUGUAAAGAUAAAGAACGAAAGAAUUUGCAUAAUCUGCAUAUAUUUAAUGUUGAGCAUAUUUCUUGCUAUUUGUUCAGGCAUAUUAGCAUCAUGUUAUAGAUUGGUUACUAUAUCCUACUUAUCCUUUCUAUUAUGCCUGAGUUAGUCCUAGUGGGAAAGUCGGUGAUGUUGAGGCCGAACCCACUGGGAACUUUGUUGUAGUUCUCACCCCACUAUUUCCACAGAGCCGGGACCGAGCGAGCCGGCGAGCGACCGAGGUAAAGGUAUCGCGCCUUAGUCAGAGGCCACCAAAGUUGGGUUUCAUUUUGUAGUAAAGUACCCUAUGUUCAUCUUUUGUACUUGAUGAUUCAGAAUAGUAAUGUAUAAAGCAAAGAAAAGAAUGUAAUGUUCAUUUUGAGGUAAAUGUGAUGUAAGAAAGAAAUGAUGAAACGAAAUGUAAGGAAUUUCGGAAAAUUUACAAGUUGGAUGUAUGUAUAUGAUCUAAAUUGAAUCAUAGUACAAGUGAAUGUUUAGUUUCCUUUUUCUUUCACUAGUGGCUAUUGCUUACCCUCGAGUAAGCCGUAUGUGUAUGUUUCCGCUAGUGCAUUUCUUGUUUGAAUUUGUACAUGUGAUGAGCCUUGGGCGGAUAGGGGAAACUCUGUCCGUUCGGCGUCUGUUUGACGUGCUUGGGUCGGGCCAAAUUGGCAUCGGUCUCGGGGCGUGACAGAUAUCGUGGUAUCAGAGCCAACAGUGAAAGAAUAGGAAUGGACCUAGAGACCUUUAGGAUUGGUUGACCUUAAGGAUCUAGGAAACGAGAGUGGCGUGGGAUCAAGUUAGCGAAAGCAUGUGAUUGGG